CCGCCCGCCGGGGAACUGCACCUUCUCGCGCCCCGACGCAGCCGCCUCCGCGCGCGCACGCAACGCACGCGCUCCAGCGCCUACGGUCAAAGCGCCGCGCAACCAGUUAUUCCGCCCCCGGCUCCGCACCCGCGUCUCGGACGUUCCCGCAGCCAACGUUUAGGGCACCAGGCGCUGUGCUAGGCGCCGCGGUUAUAAAGAUAAUCGGUUUUGUUGAGCCCAGGAAUGUUCGGGUACACCCAUCAUGAGUACACCCACUCUUCUAGCCUAACAAAAAUUCCCUUAGGGCCCAAGGAAUCAUGGUACCUGCACCCCAAGAAAGCCUCUGGGUCUUUGAGUCAGCAAAGUGGCGGAGGAAGGACUGGCCCUAAAACAACCUCACUGCUUACACACACCACACCACACACACACACACGCCAGAUAGCCAGCAGAGACCUCCAACCACACACACACACACACACACACACACACACGCCAGAUAGCCAGCACAGACCUCCAGACCCCGCCCCGCCCCCCUCCCCCGGCCCCCCUCCGCCCCCACGCGCCAAAUAGCCAGCAGAGACCUCCAGGAUAUGGCUGUGAGUUUAAAAAUAAAGCUGGGGCAGGGAGAAGUUAUAAGCUGAAUCAGAUAUGCCUUUCAAUACCCUUUUAAUGUCUCAAAGAGAAAGCCAUAAACAUGCAUUUGCUUUAUGUUUCUCAACUAUUUCGAUGGAGUCAUCACUGUAGGAAGUGGUUCAUGAUUUUAUACAGGAGAGGUAUUGUGAGCAUUUAUAAAGCCAUCCUGCUUAUGAGCCAAAUUUAUUAUGUUUGCUAGGUUAAUCUGUUUUCUCUAAUCAAACACUUAAUCAUCCAGUCUCCUCUCUGCGUUAUGGAUUCAUGAAUGUGAAGUGAGGAGAGUUGCUCAGUCAAGGUUUUUCACGUACUGCACAUCCAAGCUAGGUAAUGUCUCUGCAACUGCUGCUUCCUGAUGAUUAUAUUCAUCUGAAAUGACUAAGCUUGGUAAAUUAGGCUAAGUCAAGUCUGUGGAGCAGUCAAGGGACGAAUGAAGAAAAGAAUAAUGUAAUGGAGGCUACACCAGAGACAUGGGAAUCUAUCAGCAUGUGGCAAGGAAGGAAGAACAUAGCUAUGUCUUCUAUAUAAAGAGUUGCCUGCAUUCUUCUCAGAAAAAAAAAGACAAUGGAAAGGCAAUGAGUCAUGAGUCUUGGGUUCUAAGCCUGGUUCUACCAUUUGCUAGCUGUAUGAUAAGAAGCAUGUUUGUUAAACCUCUGAGCCUCAGCUUAUAUAUAUACGAAACAGGAAAAAUAGUAACAUAGCCUGCCAUCUUCACAGAUUUGUGAAAAGGUCUUUUAAAUAUCCAAAAAGCUUAGUAUGUAUAAGAAAGAUUAAAUUGGCUGGGCGCGGUGGCUCACGCCUGUAAUCCCAGCACUUUGGGAGGCCGAGGCGGGCGGAUCACAAGGUCAG
rnacentral:lncRNA from 1 species